GCGAGGAUGAGCUCCCACCUUCCUGCCCUGCUUCCUCCACAGCUGAGCCCUGCCGUGUGCACAGUCCUGGCAGGAACGCCCGGGCCUGGGCGGGCUAAGAGUUCCCUGGCCAGACACCCACUGGACAGGGUCUGCUGGGCCUUGGCUGACGGGAGUCAGAGAGGACCACGUGGUCUGAGGUGCUGGCCUGAGCCGCAGACUUCAGGGCUGGAGGGGACACCGGACGGAGCAGUGGGGACAGGUGUGGGCCGUGGCCGCCUGCCCUCGUCUCAGCUCUGUCUCCAGCUCAGAAGUGACCUGUCCCCUCACUGGGAGGCCGUCUCAGGGCUGGCCUUGGCCACUGGGAGCACUGUGCCCUCCCGUCACCCUGGCCCUUUCCCCUGGGGCACCCCCUGCCCUGGCCCCUCGGCAGGGCUCUGUCCUCUAUCUCCCAGCCUCUCCCACACCCUACCCCAGGCUGCCGGCUCUGAACACCGGGGCAUCUCCAGCCCUGAGCCAGUCCCGAAAAUGCACUCGAGUGACCUGCCACGGCACCCAGCCCGUUCCCAGGACGGCCCUCAGCAGCGCGGAGACCGUCUGUGAGCAGGCCCUGGGGCCCGCACCCCACCGCGGACCUGCGGCAGGGACCCCUCCCCUGGCAGUACUAGGGGUCCCCACGAGGAAGUGCUCAGAGGGGCAGCGCUCCCUCCCCCCACCCGGUCCCCCAGCAGCUCCACGUCAUGCCUACCCGCUGUGCUCCCGGCUCAGGUGGGCACCUCUCCACCCCCCACGCAGGGCUCAGGGAGGCCCUGGCACUGAGUGGGGAGCAGGAGGGAGGCAGGAGGGAGAAGCCCAGCUGGACAGUGGGGCCAGGGGUGCCAGGAUGAGGGGCCACCCCACCCCCAUCGUGCACUCUGGUGACGUUGGAGGCCGGCCAUGAAGGGCUACCUGGGUGGGUAAAGGGAGACCGUGGGCCAGAGACAAGGAAUAGUGGGUCCCAGGCUGAGGGCUAAGAUGCGAUGCUCCUUCUUGUUGGUCCUCAGAGCGCUCUGGACAUCCUGGAGGAGGGGGUCCUGGAAGCCAGGCCAUAGCAGGAUGCAUAGGAGUUCGCCAGCAGAGAUGGGUGUGUCUGCUGCAGGACUCACUGUUUUUUAAACUCCUGCGUGGGCCUGGUACUUCAUUCACUCAGCCGAUGUUACUUGAGCACCUGCUGUGUGCCAGGCCCCAUGCUGAGCACCAGGACAGAGAAAGAUCCAAACAGGUCUGCUCCCCACUCCCUCGCAGAGGGAGACUUUUGGCUGCUUGCCGUGAAGCCAGGGAUGAUGGGAGAGUGAAAAGGACUGACCCACACUGGGGCAAGCUUCUUGCAGGGGAGGCUUGCCAGGCAUGGGAGGAUGGUAUGUGCAAAGGCCCUGUGGUUAGGAGGCUAGAGCAUCCGAGGACAGGACAAGAGGUCAGUGUGGAGACGGAAGUGGGGGCACACCACACACUGUGAGCGGGAGGUGAGCAGGAUGCAGUUUGCGGGGGGCGGGGGACCUCUUACCCUUCUGUGUGCACCGCUCCCCAGGCCUCCUCCCUCAAGAACCCGGAGCCUGGAGUGGACACAGGGCGGGGGUGUGCAGUCAUGGCUGAGGUGGGGGGCACACGUCGGGGUGCCGAGGUCUGUGAAGGCUGUGUUUGCGCAGGGAGCAGACGUGGGCACGCUGGGACCCAGGGACCCAUGAUCACACAGAGAGUCGCACUUAGAGACACACAGAACAGAGGCUCAGCAGAAACACCUAAGCGGGCUGUUUGCCGCCUAUGUCCCCCCUCCCCCAUGCCCCUGACACACACACCAGCCGCCGGGGAUCCGCUUUCUCUCCUGCCCCUUUUCUCUGGUUCUUCAGCAAAGCAGUUGCUCGAAACUAAUUGAAUUUUCCGCCUGGGAAGGGCCUGGGGAGCUAAGGCGGGUGGGGGCUGGGAAGAAGCUUGUUAACAGGUCUGGCCCUCCUUCCCCCUCCCCCCACCAGCCCGGCUCCUCCUCUCUGCAGUGGGGGUGGGAUGGCCAGGCCCUGGUGGCCUAGGAGCAUGGACAGACUGACAGGACGCAGCCUGCACCCUGUGCAGAGCCUGAGCGGGUGAGAGGAGGCCUGGCCUGCGGCACAGCCCCGCCUCCGGCCAGGAGCCCCCAGGGCUGCUGAAGUAGCCCCCGCACCUCCACUUCCCCUCCUCCUGCCACAGGGAGAAUGGGACUGGGGUGCGGUGGGCAGGGGCAUAAACCAGACGCUCCCGACGGGGGGACGCAAGGCUGCCCUUCGAAACGCGGGAGCCCAGCCCGCCCCCCAGAGGAGGAGACUGAGGCCCAGGCAGGCCCACGGUACACUGUGGGCCGUGGGCAGGAGAGCCGGGGGCAGAGCAGGGCUGGUGCCUGGGGGAGGAAAGGGGGGCAGAGGGCCCCCCACCAGCCUGGGUUUACCCCCCCACCCCCGCCCAGAACCAGUAUUUUCAGUGCGCGGUGUGCUGCAGGGCUGUGUGUGGGCAGCGGGCUGUGCAGGGAGCAGCCUGGGGACAGAGAAGGGGCCUGCACCCUCCCUGCCAGACCCCGCCCUGCCCCCCAGCCUGGUUCCUUUUCUGGACCCCAGCCCCGGGGCCCCACCAGCCUCACAGGUGCAGCAGCAGGAGGGGGACCUCGCAGCUCCGCCGGGAGCUGCAGGGAUGCUGGGGCCGCGGCCCUGGGGCUGGCCUCAGACUCAGGACAGCCGUGUUGCUCUGUUUCCUCGUUAAACCACUGCUUCUCUGGCCUCGCCAGGGCUGCUAGCCUGGGGGCCCUGCUGAGGGGCCUCAGGGGACUGUGCUUCUCCCGAGGGGUGAGCAGAGGUGACAAUGAUGGGACUUCAGGUCUUGUACUGUUGGGGGCUGGAACUCUCAGGCCCCAUCAGUAUGAGCCUGGACCCCUGGGGGGCGGGGGGGGAGCAAGAGACCUGCCUGCCUUGAAGGGAGGGCGGCCACAGGCCCCUGCUACAGAUUAGGACACUGAAGCCCUGCUUCGUUGUCUGACUCAGGGUCACACAGACGGCUCAGAGUCAGGGCUCAGAUCCUGACACUGUGUAUCCCCGAGUCCAGCUCCUUCCCCCACUGCGUCUGUGACGCUGCUGGAGGUCCCCCUGGAGAAGGGCAGCCCAGGGAUGUGACCGGCGUAGACCUGGCUGGGUCCCGGACAGCAGGGUGGGUGGCCCUGGGGGAGGCCGCUGGGAGGACCGGGGGCCCAGGCACGGCUGGAGGCGGUCUGGGGUGACCGAGAGGUCUCGAGCUGCUGUUGGCCCUGCCCAGCCCUGCCUCCCGGUUGGCCUCUGGGAUGCCCGCCGGCACAGCCCGCCUCCCUUCCUGCCCCCCUCCUCGGGGCCCUGGCCCACGAGGCAGGCACACCCGUUCCUGCCUGCUUCUCCGGAGGGCACGUGCCAGGAACCGGCGGCAGCCUCUCUGGCCUGCGCCACUGGAGGUCACGCGGGGAGCUUGGGGCACUGAGCCGGCUGGCGGGAGCAGACCGGCUCUGGGCAUAGAUGACCGCCAUUGCCGGGCUGCGGGAUGAGCUGUCUGUCCAUCACCCGUUCUGUCUGAGCCCAGCCAACUACUCAUACAUCCACCCACCCACCUACUACACACCCGCCCACGUACCCUCCAUCCACCCACCCACCCACUCAGCGCUCCUACCUGAGCGCCUGCUGCAGACCCCGGGAGAGGCUGACCACACGGUGUCCUGUUCCAGGACCCCAGGCUGGCCACACCUCAGCAUCCGGGCAGGCAGACCGGGGCGGGGGCGGGGGGAUGCAGGUCCUGGGGGAGCAUGCGUGGGGGUCACUGCCCAGACCAAGGUCAGCCGUAGAAGCCACUAGAAGGCCAUCCUGGGGAGGAGGUCUCCAAGGCCAGGGUUGGGGGAGCCACAAGGGCAGAACCCUGGGCUGUGAGACUCCAGGGCUGUGUUGCAGAGUGAAGCCCCCAGAGGAAGGAUGUGGUUGGAGACAGAGGGAGUCAGAGAUAAAGAUACAGAGACAGAGACAGAGACAGUGAGACACGGAGACAACGAGAUUCAGAGAAAGCGGGGUGAGGUUGACCAGGGUCCCACCCUCUGGGUCGGAGUCCUGGACAAGGGCCCAGCGAGCCCGGAGCCCCCUCCCUUGUCGCAGCAGGGAGAUAAGGAGGACGAGGCUGUGAUAAGUACGGUUGUCUUGGCAGUCAAAGCCUGAUACUCCUCUUGGGGGCAUUUUUUCCCCAUCAAGUCAUCCUGGGCUUGGUCCAGGGCCCUCUCCCCAAGCCCUGGGGUGACCAACACUCCCCCGCAAGACACCCUGAGGCCAGAGAAGGGUCUGCAAGGGGUCUUUCCCACAGCCUCUCCCGGAACCCAGGGCUCAGCCCGCGCUGAGCUCAGGAGGGGAAACGGGGCCUGGAGGCAGUGAGGACCGGCUCAUCCCUGCAUCUGGCUGUCCAUUCAGGCAGGGGGUCCCCUCUGUGGCCCCCGGGGCUGUGCCUGAAGAUGGGAGGGGGUGGCGCCCACCCUGCUGAUAACAACGGGUCCAAAUCCACUCAGCAAACACCCACCGGCUCCCUGGGGCCUGGGUCAGAGACCGGGAGGGUCAGCUGUGGCCUCGAGAGGCCCCACUCUGGGCAGGUGUGAGUGGCAGAGGAAGCCAUUCAUCUGGGGGGUGGUGGUGACAACUGGUGGUUCCAGGAAGGAGCUGAGCUGUGAGGAAGAGGAAAACCGAGCCAGGCAGAGUCUGGGAGGGUUGGGGCCCCACCCUUUGUCCCCACCACAUCCUCCGUGAUUCUCUGACCCUCCUUUGGCAUCCUGCCCCAUCUGGACAGACAGAUGGACAGAUGUGCAUGUGAGUGGAUGGAUGGAUGGACGGACACAGGAUGGAAAGGAAAGACCAAAGUUAGGACUGAGGGAUGGAGAGAUGGAUGGUGGACGAAUGAUCAGAUGAAUGGAUGGGGGCGGCAGAUAGACAAAAGGAUAGAUAGGUGGAUAGAAAGAAGGAAAGGACAGGUGGAUAAAUGCCGGGCUGGCUGGCUGGCUGGACCAAUGGAUAGAUAGUGCAUAGGUGGGUAGAUGGCAGGAGGAUGAAUGGGUGAAUGAACAGAUGCUCAGAUACAUGGAAGGAUGAGAUGGCAGGUAGAAUAGCGCCUCCCCCACGAAAGACUCCCACGUCCUAACCCCUGAAACCGGUGAAUACGUUGCCUUACGCGGCAAAAGAGACUUUGAUGAUGUGAUAAGUGAAGAAUCUUGAGGCGGAGAGAUUAUCCUGGGCCACGCAGAUGGACCCAGUGUAGUCACCAGGGUUUUAUAAAUGAAAAGGGGAGGCGGAGGUGCUGUGAAGAUUGAAGUAGAGGCUGAGUGACAUCACUGCUGGCUCUGAAGACGGGGGCCACGGCCUCCAGCCAAGGAAUGCAGGCCGCCUCUGGAAACUGGAAAAGGCCAGAAAACUGAUUCUCUCCUAGAGCCUCCAGAAGGGACGCAGCCCUGUCCACAUCUUGAUUUUAACCCGCAAGACCCAUCUCUGACCCACAGAACAGUAAGAUGAUAAAUUGUGUUGUUUUAAGCCA